rnacentral:rRNA from 1 species
UACGUAGGGUGCGAGCGUUGUCCGGAAUUAUUGGGCGUAAAGAGCUUGUAGGCGGUUUGCCGCGUCUGCCGUGAAAAUUCGAGGCUCAACCUCGAACUUGCGGUGGGUACGGGCAGACUAGAGUGUGGUAGGGGAGACUGGAAUUCCUGGUGUAGCGGUGAAAUGCGCAGAUAUCAGGAGGAACACCGAUGGCGAAGGCAGGUCUCUGGGCCACUACUGACGCUGAGAAGCGAAAGCAUGGGGAGCGAACAGG